AUUGAACGCUGGCGGCAUGCUUUACACAUGCAAGUCGAACGGCAGCACGGGGGCAACCCUGGUGGCGAGUGGCGAACGGGUGAGUAAUGCAUCGGAACGUAUCUUUAAGUGGGGGAUAACGCAUCGAAAGAUGCGCUAAUACCGCAUAAUCUCUGAGGAGAAAAGCAGGGGAUCGCAAGACCUUGCGCUUUUGGAGCGGCCGAUGUCUGAUUAGCUAGNGGUGGGGUAAAGGCUUACCAAGGCUUCGAUCAGUAGCUGGUCUGAGAGGACGACCAGCCACACUGGGACUGAGACACGGCCCAGACUCCUACGGGAGGCAGCAGUGGGGAAUUUUGGACAAUGGGGGAAACCCUGAUCCAGCCAUGCCGCGUGAGUGAAGAAGG
rnacentral:rRNA from 1 species